UGGUUGCGCUUUUGGCUACUUUCAAUGUGCAGCCGCGUUAAAUCAAGCGGACACGUUGGCUUUUUAAAGAUUUUUUUAUUUCUACGAAGUGACAAGCGCUCCAGUCUCGCUGCAUUUUUCUCAGCAUGGCGUCUCGGACGACCAGGACCCGCUUUAGCUUUCGGUUUUCUCAUACGUCAGCUCUUUCACUUCGCGAAGACACGGAGAAAAAUAACAACAGCCAAAUGAACUUCGACAUCAUUCCUCUUGGUGCGGGCAGAAGCAGGGGAGGUCAGAUCCAGACGGGGAGUACACUCAGAACUCUUUGCACCAGCGUGGGCAUGCAUUACCUGAAUUGUACGAGUACGGCCCUUUGUCUGGAAAAGUGUCAAGAUGACGUGAAGGAGGUGUGGGAUAAAAAAAGAAAGAAAAAAGAAAACAUGCAGAGGUGUAAAUAAAAUGGAGGAGACAUGGAAUGACAUAAAGGACUCUGAAGGGGCCGGGCUCCUCAUGUCUCACCAAAGACAUUGGGGAGGCCUCGCUGCUGUGCCAGGACGUGUGGUCCCACCAGUGCCCGUCCAUAUCUCCUGCGAGGGGCGGCCACAACGAGAGAGGACAGUGGAGGAAGAGGUGAGGACAGGACAGACCCACCGGGUACUGGCAAGCGGACACAGGCACACAAAGUCACAUAUGCUGUGCAUUCACACACUCAAACUCACAUGUACAUUCACACAAAAUGAACUCAGGUAAAUUCACACACACACACACACAGUCACAGGUGAAUUCAGACGUACGUACACACACACACACACAUACACUUAAGUCACAGGUGAAUUCACACGCAUACACACAUAUAGAAACUCACUGGAAAAUUCACACACUAACUCAAAGGAAUGUUCACACACACAUACACACACACACACGCACACACACAAACACGUAUAACCAUGGAUUCGGACAGAUCCCACCACACGGACAAGAACCAGAGGUACCAAAGAUUUUGUCACUGACGUGUAGAUGAACACAUGGCCAUGUACAGAACACAUAAACUCAUACACAUCGUAGAUGCACACAUUCACACACAGGUUACAGCACACAGACAAGAAACAAAGAGGUGCCCAUCCAUA